rnacentral:pre_miRNA from 1 species
GUGGGCUGGGCCCCAGGAGCGGGGCCUGGGCAGCCCCGUGUGUUGAGGAAGGAAGGCAGGGCCCCCGCUCCCCGGGCCCGGCCCCAC